CAGACACGUGGGUGCGGUGGCACAUGUGUAGUGUACUGGGCGUAUGGUGGUUGCAUUAAGCCGUUUAUUUUCGCGACUUCGUGUAUCAUCUUUGAGCGUUGAGGAAUCGGUGGCACACCUACGUGAUGACAUUGAUGGAAAGCGGGCUCCAGAGAGACUCAAGUUCCAGUCAUGCCAGUGAGGACCCAAGUGACAGCCACUCUGACAGUGAUGAGGAGCAAGAACAGUGGAUGGAGAAAACAGCAGUGUGAAAGGUGAUAGCAGCGCGUUGGUCCCCUGCUUGUGGGCUCAUCCUCUGGCAUAACUGGCCUAAUAGAGUAAGGAGAUAGCAGCGUGGUUGGUCCCCUGCCUGUGGGCUCAUCUUCUGGCAUCACUGCCCCAUUAGAGUGUAGCCAUCUCUUGUUUCAUGACAAUACUAGUCAUGAUUUUGGUUGUCGCAACAAUUUGUUUAAAGGUACAGUCCAUCAUUUGUCUUUUGUGGAUUAUUUUCCUUUGAAGCAACAAAAUUAC